AACGGGCGAACCAUCUAACUGUCAGUGUGGGACUCUGCUGAAUGCCUGAUUAAGGUGGCAGUCAAAAACAGCACAAAUAUGGGAAAACAAAGGCAUGUCCACAAGGGCUGAGUUUCCCGAAGCAUAAGCAGAAGAAACAGAACGAAAGCAGAAGUAGAACGUCAGGUGCACAUACUCAAAGACGGGCAGCAAUGAGAUAUCUGCAGGCAUUUGGUGGAAAAAACACAUGGUUCGAUUAUGCUAAUUGAUACACACACACCUACACCCAUAGAAUGAAAAAAAAAAAAACAGUACCUGCAUCUCUGUUUACACGUCACCCUCUUGUACUGUACAUUGAGUGCCCCUCCAUCAGUUCUAUCUGUCUGCAAGGGAAAAUAUUCAUUCCUAAACACAAAUUCCUCUACACUUCUUUAAACAUCAGCUUUUGAUAAAUAUAGGCAGAGCUUUUAUUGAAAAUCUGUGAAACAGCAUGUUUUCAAAAGUGAAAGCGGACCGAUUACAGACAGCUGUGGCACUCCAAAUGAGCCUCUCCACCCCAUGCUUAGGACAGCAGUUAGUGAGGGACUUCCUGCAUGGAAAGCUGUGUAUGUUUUCCUUCAGUGAACUGAACAUCCUGCAGAUCUUAAAUUCCAGUCAGCAGUAAACUCCCUGACCUCUGAGCACAAAAUUAGGCACAUCAUACAAGCAAAAGACAAGAGGGAAAGGAAGGACUUCAAAACAGAGACAGGGAGAAUGAGAGAUAAUUCAAACUUACACAUCUUCUGUGUUGCAUUUCUCAUAACUAUACAUUGUAUGAAAAGGAAACUAGAGUGCAUGAUUAAUUAUAGGCUAUAUAAGCAAAACAAUUUUUUUUUCAACAGCAGAACAUUUUAUGAUAGUCAUAGUUUGUAAAGUAUACAACCUAUUUCUAGCUAUUUUUCCAAACCUGACCAUAUGUUAUUUUGUAUUUAGGUUAAUUCAAAUUAAUUUGUCAAAUUACAAAAUGUUUUUUGCCUAAAUAAAACCAGUUCCUUUAUUACAACAUGGAACACAUUUGUUUUGUUACAUGAUGACAAAAGUUUUUGCACUAUAUCUAAUCACAGGAAAAUGUGGGACAAUUAACAAAGCAACCCAUAUAAAUAGAUCUAGUCAUUGUAUUGUAAUGCUCAUAAACUUCCAGACUCUUUUUACAUAUAUGUGAGAUCCAUUUGUUUAUUAUGACACAUAUAUGCAAUAAAAGGGAUGAUCUUGUACUGUAUAAUACCCUUCUAUGUCUAAUAACACAGUGAUGUAAACAGCCAUGAAAGUGUCAGAUUUCAUCUGCUUUUACAUGGACAGGGUUGUCAGUUACAACAUAAGCGGUGAACCCUCACUGCCAAUGUGUUUAUUGAGCUAUUAUCAAUUGACUGAUGAAACAAACUACUCACCAGUCAACAUAUGUUCUUGAUUUGCUGGAUUUAUUUGAUUUUAAACCAUAUGUUUUCUGUUUUGAAAUGAUUAUGGAGGUUUGCAACGGAGCAUUCUGUGCUGAUCACAAACAUUAGAGUUUUGGUGAAACAAUAUGAUUUUUACUUUUGUUUAUUUUGAGUUUCAAGAGCAGUGGUGAAUUUUCCUGGGGCGACGAGAGGCAUUUUAAUCCAUGUAUUUCUUUUUUCAUAAGGUACAUUUUCCUAUUUAAUAAAAGAUACUGCUUCAUAUAACCAAGAUGGAAAUAAAAUAUGUGCCUUCUGCCUUCCUCAUACCACAGUCACAAAAUACAUUCACUGGCUAUAUAUUUAAUGCUUUUGACACUCUUCCUCUUGUCCUGAAAUACUCCCAUAUUUCCAGUCGUCUAUCAGAAAAAGCUUAAAGGUAAGUGGAGUUCCCUCAUUACCUUGUAGGGCUGUUUCUGCCUUAAGUUAGCAGGUGCACAGCAAUUGAUAAAUCCGAAAAUGCCAUACAAUAAUGUAAUGUAUAAUGUACAAUUCCUCUAUGUAUUUUUGAUGUAUAGAAUGUAAAAUGUUAAUGUUCUGACCUGUGUUGACAUUUGACAUAUCUGAAUGCCUCUAAAUAAACUAUUUUGGAAUAUGUGCAUAUUAAAAUUUUUCUUUUGUUUCUCA